GCCACUGGGUACCCAGUGAGAACCUUGUGCUGACUCAAGGACUGAGACCUCCUCGUGAGACUGCAACACAGAUCCAAACUCCAGAGAGGCAAGCUAUGGCCCCGGUGGCAGGAAGUGAGAGGCUGGGUAGAGCAGAAGGAAGAAGGAGGUUGCCACGAACUGGAAGCAAAGGACUGUGAGUCAGGACAAAGGGAUAGCAAUGUGCUGCAGGAGGCUGGAGAGACCUGGGCACAGAACAGGCCAGCCCGGGCUUCAGGGUCAGGGUGUGACAGCCUGUUCUAUGCAUUCCUGGGCUAAUGUCUUCCAGCAGAGGAAGCACCUGGGAAUAUGGCAGAUACGCUCAAAGGUUCAAGGAGGCAGGGAAGGAGGGAGGCAGGGUAAAGAGAAGGCAAUCCCCCAGCCUCAAGAAUGAACAUUGGAGAGUCAGUUUAGGGUGGUUCUGAGCUCUGGGGAGGGUCUCCCCAUUACAACAGAUAGGGCUGCAUAGGACUAUUAUUGUGUGUCUUUAAAGGGUUGUACUGCGCAAGGAGAAAAGUGGGGAUGCAGGAAGGAGGUUCCCGCAGGCAUCCUAGCAGGAGGAUGAACCUGGGUUGAAGAGCUUGCCAAAUACGUUCACUUCUGGCCUCACGAGCUACCCUCAACUAACCUGGGAGUUAUGUGUUAAAGGAAGGACAGACCAUGCUCUCAGGGGCAGGGCUAUGGUCUCAUGUGCUGGGAUUCCCCAGAGCGCUGGCUAAGCCAUCCAUCCGAUCCCAAUCCUUGCGGCUUCUUCUGGAAGGAAGCUGAAGGUGGGUGGAAAGGAAACACGGAGCUAAAGGUGGAAGGCUCUGGGCUCCUGCCUCUCCCAGCUGCAAAGCAAGGUGGCGCUCAGCCCCAGGACCUGGAAGGGGCGACUCACCAUCUCAGUGGCAUCCUGGCCGCGGAGCAGGGGCUUCUCCUCAGGAAAUCGCAGCUCCUGCAGCCCUGCCAUGGUCACGUCGUGGAGCAGAAGCCCUAGGAGGAAGGGAGUACGAGGUUGGGCCUUGUUCUGAAGCUGCCGGGUGAGGACAUCACAGGGCAGGGCUGCUGUCCCCAGGGGACCAAGAUCUGCUUGUACCAAGGACUAUUAUACUGUAUUUGUUUUUCAAAUAAAGUCAUGUUUUGCAAAACUAA